UGGGGAUCAAACUCACAGAAGAGGAACAGAAAGAUCUCCUGGAACACCUUCCAGUUGGUGCCAGUGGGAAAGUGAAUAAGAAGAAUGUAAUGAAUGCUGUGCAGAAUCUUGGUGGAGGGAAUGUUGAUGUUAGCAAACUGGACAAGGUUCUGGGAAACCUG